UCCCUGUGUGUCAACCUCUGUGCUUCGUGGCAAGGUAGACUAGCAAAACAUGCCCAACCUUUACUCACAUUCGAGAAAACACUCCCAAUAAGAUUGCUUGCUCCAAAAUCGAAGAGGCACCGUCCUUCGAAUCUCGAGAGCCAGACUCCCAACAUGACUACUUUCUUAAAAAUCGAAGAGAGGGUAAAGGAACAGUACCAUUGCUGGAUAAUUGGAAAGUCCCUGUGUGUCAACCUCUGUCCUUCGUGGCAAGGUAGACUAGCAAACAUGCCCAACCUUUACUCACACUCGAGAAAACACUCCUAACAAGAUUGCUUGCUCCAAAAUCGAAGAGGCACCGCCCUCCGAAUCUCGAGAGCCAAACUUCCAAUAUGAUUAUUUUCUCAAAAAUCGAAGAGACACUGCUCCCCGAAUCUUCGAGAGCCAGACCCCCAGCAUGAUUGCUUUCUCAAAAAUCGAUGAGGCAUCGUUCUCCGAAUCAAUCGAAGAGGCGCUCGCUUUCUCAAAAGUUGGGCUGCUCAGAGACCACGAGGGCCGAUCUCAGAAAUCGAAGAGGCACCUACUUUUCUAGCCUUGUCAGCACCUGUCACACGCACACUCAGCUUUGCAGAAAUUAUGGGCAUUCUGUCGAAGACUUCUGGUGAAGUAGAAAGCACAUGAAUCUUACUAUUCAAUCACCCACUUCCCACACGCAACAAUAGCUCAUGGGUACCACAGAUAACUUUGCCAAAGUUGAGCACGUGAAGCUUGCAGCUCCCACUACAUCGCUCUGACCAAGAAAGGUAAAAGAAUAGCAAAGAAACAGCACUAACAAAGUUUAGACACAUAAAUUUUGAAGGUAUAGCUACCAUAUUAUUACCCACAAGGGUAAAGGAACAGUACCACUGCUGGAUAAUUGAAAAGUCCCUGUGUGUCAACCUCUGUGCUUCGUGGCAAGGUAGACUAGCAAACAUGCCCAACCUUUACUCACAUUCGAGAAAACACUCCCAACAAGAUUGCUUGCUCCAAAAUCGAAGAGGCACCGUCCUCCGAAUCUCGAGAGCCAGACUCCCA
rnacentral:lncRNA from 1 species